rfam:Glycine soja cultivar W05 scaffold1774_2, whole genome shotgun sequence.
GAUGAUGGGAAUGUUGUUUGGCUCGAGGUAACUGCAUGGUCUUAAUUUUGUUCAUCUUUUGAAGCUUUAAUUUAUUUAUGGGUUUCAAUCUUUUUUGAUCCCUUGAAACAGAAAAAGCUUUAAAGGUUGGAUUUUGAGGCUAUCCCUUUAUGUGAUCUCGGACCAGGCUUCAUUCCCGUCAAC